CACUGUUCUCCAUGGCCCAGGAGAUGCGGAAGGAGUCGCAAGUGAUAUUGUUGACCUCGAUGCUGUGGGGUGUGGACAGCAGCUCCAUGCUCCCCUGUGGCUUGGCUCCAGUGGGGACUGACGGGAGAGGAAGAAUUAGCACCUUCCUUCCCACCACCGAAUUUUCUGGAAUGUCUUGCUCCCAGCAUCUCUUGCAAAUUGGGACCUUGGGAAUCUACUGAUUACACCUGCCUCAUCUAAUCUGAUGGGAAGAUUGCAUGGGAAGAUGGAGUAAGACCAAAGGCUGACUAUGUGGUAAUAACUGCACAAGCAUCAUCUCAUGUAAACCUCACAAUAGGACAAGCUGCCCUCAGAAGAAGUCCCUCUAACACACCCGUACUUGGAAAUCUCUCACUUGAAUGCAGCCCCCAAACUUUAGGAUGCUGGGAGAAGGGUGGAGCUGAGCCCAAAGGCUUGGGAGCCCCUAAACAGCGAUUCUGAUUGGGAGAAGGGAAAGGGUCCAAAUGAGGAGGAUUUUCUACCACCAAAGGAAAACCCCAGAGAAGCCACUGUGAAGAUCACUCAAGGAACUCUGAAUCAAGCAACCAACAGUGACAAAGUGUGCAGGGUGGGAAAGCAUGGGCUUUACAAUCAGAUACCAUUAAAAUUCUUGUUCUCUCACUUU